rnacentral:snRNA from 1 species
UAUCCUGGUUUCUCUUCAGAUCGUAUAAAUCUUUCACCUUUUACUAAAGAUUUCCGUGGAGAGAAACACUAAAAUAAAUAAAUAAAUACCUGUGUGUUUGCAUACAUGUAUGUAC